UACGUAGGGUGCGAGCGUUAAUCGGAAUUACUGGGCGUAAAGCGUGCGCAGGCGGUGAUGUAAGACAGAUGUGAAAUCCCCGGGCUCAACCUGGGACCUGCAUUUGUGACUGCAUCGCUAGAGUACGGCAGAGGGGGAUGGAAUUCCGCGUGUAGCAGUGAAAUGCGUAGAGAUGUGGAGGAAUACGAUGUCGAAGGCAGCCUCCUGGGCCAACACUGACGCUCAUGCACGAAAGCGUGGGGAGCAAACAGG
rnacentral:rRNA from 1 species